rnacentral:rRNA from 1 species
GAUGAACGCUGGCGGCGUGCUUAACACAUGCAAGUCGAACGGUGAAGGCGGAGCUUGCUCUGCUGGAUCAGUGGCGAACGGGUGAGUAACACGUGAGCAAUCUGCCCCUGACUCUGGGAUAAGCGCUGGAAACGGCGUCUAAUACUGGAUACGAGCUGCGAAGGCAUCUUCAGCAGCUGGAAAGAAUUUCGGUCAGGGAUGAGCUCGCGGCCUAUCAGCUUGUUGGUGAGGUAAUGGCUCACCAAGGCGUCGACGGGUAGCCGGCCUGAGAGGGUGACCGGCCACACUGGGACUGAGACACGGCCCAGACUCCUACGGGAGGCAGCAGUGGGGAAUAUUGCACAAUGGGCGAAAGCCUGAUGCAGCAACGCCGCGUGAGGGACGACGGCCUUCGGGUUGUAAACCUCUCUUAGCAGGGAAGAAGCGAAAGUGACGGUACCUGCAGAAAAAGCGCCGGCUAACUACGUG